rnacentral:rRNA from 1 species
UACGUAGGGGGCAAGCGUUGUCCGGAAUCAUUGGGCGUAAAGAGCGCGUAGGCGGCCCUGUAAGUCCGCUGUGAAAGUCAAGGGCUCAACCCUUGGAUGCCGGUGGAUACUGUCGGGCUCGAGUACGGAAGAGGCGAGUGGAAUUCCUGGUGUAGCGGUGAAAUGCGCAGAUAUCAGGAAGAACACCCGUGGCGAAGGCGGCUCUCUGGGACGGUACUGACGCUGAGACGCGAAAGCGUGGGGAGCGAACAGG